UACGGAGGAUGCAAGCGUUAUCCGGAAUGAUUGGGCGUAAAGCGUCCGCAGGUGGCGAUGUAAGUCUGCUGUUAAAGAGUGAGGCUCAACCUCAUAAGAGCAGUGGAAACUACAUAGCUAGAGUGCGGUAGGGGCAGAGGGAAUUCCUGGUGUAGCGGUGGAAUGCGCAGAUAUCAGGAGGAACACCAAUAGCGAAGGCAGCUUGCUGGGACGGUACUGACGCUAAGGCGCGAAAGCGUGGGGAGCGAACAGG
rnacentral:rRNA from 1 species